GAGCUUGCUCCUUCUGAUCAGUGGCGAACGGGUGAGUAACACGUGAGUAACCUGCCCCAAACUCUGGGAUAAGCACUGGAAACGGUGUCUAAUACCGGAUACGAGCUUCAGCCGCAUGGCUAGGAGUUGGAAAGAAUUUCGGUUUGGGAUGGACUCGCGGCCUAUCAGCUAGUUGGUGAGGUAAUGGCUCACCAAGGCGACGACGGGUAGCCGGCCUGAGAGGGUGACCGGCCACACUGGGACUGAGACACGGCCCAGACUCCUACGGGAGGCAGCAGUGGGGAAUAUUGCACAAUGGGCGCAAGCCUGAUGCAGCAACGCCGCGUGAGGGACGACGGCCUUCGGGUUGUAAACCUCUUUUAGUAGGGAAGAAGCGAAAGUGACGGUACCUGCAGAAAAAGCACCGGCUAACUACGUGCCAGCAGCCGCGGUAAUACGUAGGGUGCAAGCGUUGUCCGGAAUUAUUGGGCGUAAAGAGCUCGUAGGCGGUUUGUCGCGUCUGCUGUGAAAACCCGAGGCUCAACCUCGGGCCUGCAGUGGGUACGGGCAGACUAGAGUGCGGUAGGGGAGAUUGGAAUUCCUGGUGUAGCGGUGGAAUGCGCAGAUAUCAGGAGGAACACCAAUGGCGAAGGCAGAUCUCUGGGCCGUAACUGACGCUGAGGAGCGAAAGCAUGGGGAGCGAACAGGAUUAGAUACCCUGGUAGUCCAUGCCGUAAACGUUGGGAACUAGAUGUGGGGACCAUUCCACGGUCUCCGUGUCGCAGCUAACGCAUUAAGUUCCCCGCCUGGGGAGUACGGCCGCAAGGCUAAAACUC
rnacentral:rRNA from 1 species